UACGUAGGGCGCAAGCGUUGUCCGGAAUUAUUGGGCGUAAAGAGCUCGUAGGCGGUCUGUCGCGUCCGUUGUGAAAACUCGAGGCUCAACCUCGGGCUUGCAGUGGAUACGGGCAGACUAGAGUGCGGUAGGGGAGACUGGAAUUCCUGGUGUAGCGGUGGAAUGCGCAGAUAUCAGGAGGAACACCGAUGGCGAAGGCAGGUCUCUGGGCCGCAAACUGACGCUGAGGCACGAAGGCCAGGGGAGCAAACGGG
rnacentral:rRNA from 1 species